UUGAUAAUUGGAAGGUUGUAGCUGGCCUCUCGGGGCACGUGCACGCCAACCAUUAAUCUCCUUACACACCUGUGAACCCACCGUAGGCCUUUUGGCCUAUGUCUUUUCAUAAACCCCAUGCAUGUACUAGAAUGUCAUUUAUUUAUUUGCCUUAAAAAAGCAACUAAAAACAAUA
rnacentral:misc_RNA from 1 species